rnacentral:lncRNA from 1 species
UUUCCUUUCACCAAUCCAAAGUUUGUAGGUUAUCCUAGGAUCACUUGCAAUUUAGCAAAACUGUGAAGAAGUUUAAAUCCAUCAAUUUGCUUUGAGGUAAGGGAAGCUGGUUAAUUUAAUUGAUUGGUUUAUAAUGUAUGAAAAAUGUUGUUUGAUGAUUUUGCAUGUAUAUGAAAUUGAAUGUUUGUGUGUUCGGAAUUGUUAUGGGGGCUGUAAAAUGUUGUGGGUAUGUUGAUUUCAUUUAUGUAGAAUUCUAGGUUCAGUGACCGAGUGAAUUGUGAGGAAGUGAAGUAGUGAAAAUGGGGAAUUGGCAUCAAGUGUAGAGUUGGUCCGUAAGGAGAAUCUAGGUAAGUUGUUUAGGACUUAUUAGAACCGUUAAGUCACUCAAAACUGCACCAAAAGUAGGAAAUCUGAUUUUCAGUCCUUGAGUUAAUCAUUCUGCAGAAUUGACUCUCAAAUAUGAGAUGAAG